rnacentral:rRNA from 1 species
UUGUCCUAGUAACGGCGAGUGAAGCGGCAACAGCUCAAAUUUGAAAUCUGGCCUAGGCCCGAGUUGUAAUUUGCAGAGGAUGCUUCUGGUGACGUGCCUUCGGAGUCCCCUGGAACGGGGCGCCAUAGAGGGUGAGAGCCCCGUAUCGUUGUGCACCGAGCCUCUGUGUAGCACCUUCGACGAGUCGAGUAGUUUGGGAAUGCUGCUCAAAAUGGGAGGUAAACUUCUUCUAAAGCUAAAUACCGGCCAGAGACCGAUAGCGCACAAGUAGAGUGAUCGAAAGAUGAAAAGCACUUUGAAAAGAGGGUUAAACAGUACGUGAAACAAUUGAAAAGGAAGCACUUGUGACCAGACUUGUGCUGUAUGAAUCAUCUCGCGUUUUCGCGGGUGCACUUUGUACGGUUCAGGCCAGCAUCGGUUUUUCCAGGGGGACAAAAGCUUAGGGAACGUGGCUCUCUCGGGAGUGUUAUAGCCCUUUGCACAAUACCUUUGGAGAGACCGAGGUUCGCGCUCUGCAAGGAUGCUGGCGUAAUGGUCAUCAGUGGCCCGUCUUGAAACACGGACCAAGGAGUCAAGCAUUAGGGCGAGUGUUUGGGUGUAAAACCCGCACGCGUAAUGAAAGUGAACGUAGGUGAGAGCUUCGCGCAUCAUCGACCGAUCCUGAUGUAUUCGGAUGGAUUUGAGUAAGAGCCUUACCGUUUGGACCCGAAAGAUGGUGAACUAUGCUUGUAUAGGGUGAAGCCAGAGGAAACUCUGGUGGAGCUCGCACCGGUUCUUACUGCCAAAUCGAUCGUCAAUAUGAACUUGGGGCGAAAGACUAAUCGAACUAUC